UCGUUGAAACACCGAAGUUAAGCAACGGCAAGCCGAGUCAGUACCUCGAUGGGUAACCUCUUGGGAAUACCAGGUGCUGUAAG